rnacentral:rRNA from 1 species
CGAGGGGUCCUAGCGUUGUUCGGAAUCACUGGGCGUAAAGCGUAUGUAGGCGGCUUUUCAAGUCAGGUGUGAAAUCCCAUGGCUUAACCAUGGAACUGCAUUCGAAACUGUAAAGCUUGAGUAUUAGAGAGGAUGGUAGAAUUCCUGGUGUAGUGGUGAAUACGUAGAUAUCAGGAGGAAUACCGGUGGCGAAGGCGGCCAUCUGGCUAAAUACUGACGCUGAGAUACGAAAGUGUGGGGAUCAAACAGGAUUAGAUACCCUGGUAGUCCACACCGUAAACGAUAGGAUACUUGGUGUUGGAGGUAUUGACCCCUUCAGUGCCGAAGCUAACGCGUUAAGUAUCCCGCCUGGGAAGUACGGUCGACAAGAUUA